CUGAGUGUCAGUUUGAGUUCUCCUAAGAUCUAUUAAAAGGAUCUUAUGAAGAAAAACUCUACUCACCCAGGCUUUGAGUGUUGCCCCAGUGAGUGAACACCAGUGCUUCUCACCUCAUCUGUGGACUGCACGGUGAAGCUGUGGCGCUUAGAAGGGGAAUAUAUAGCCUGAAAGUCAAGUGGCUUCUCCUAUGAGCCUGAUUAAAAGAUGAUGAAAUUGCAGAAGAACUGAAACAAAGGCAGAAAGCAAAGUCCGAACACAGGGGAAGAAAGAGUCAAACAUCUAGGAGCCAGUUCAGAUAUUCCUACUGUGGAAUAUCUAUUGCAAAACCACUUUCUCCAAGCUUGCACAACAUGUGGGAUGAAUAAAGCCCAUAGUAGUCUACCGCUUCUUUAAUGGAAAUUUGUUUUGGAGUAUUAACCAACGUUGUACAAAAAUCAAAGUUCUUUAGACUUUUUUUUUUAAUUUGUCCCUUGAAUGUUGGUAUUGGUUUAGACCACACUUAAAAUCUAAACAUGUUAACAAUUAGUCAUGAAACUUGCAACAAAGAUCCUAGGUGUUGUGAUGUCCUAUAUUCAGCUAAUUUAGGCAGUCUACACAACAUUAUAGUACACCCUGCAAGUACAAAACUGUACUGACACAGCAAAUAUCCCUGCUAUGUACUAACUAACUUUAAAGUAAUGCUGUCUACAUGUACAGCCCCAUAAAUAUUCAUAGUACUCUGAAAAUGAAAGCUACUCUGAAAGACUAAGCAUUAUUACAAUUGUUAUUCUAUACUAGGGCAGAAAGACCUUCACUCCUAGUAGUCUGGUUUUCAGGCAUGCUAAACUUUAGAAUGAACAAAUUCAGCAUAGAGGCUUGCAGAAAUCAAGCACCAUGUUUUGUAGCAGAACUGUGCCAAUCAAUUGUUUGCUGACUGAACAAGAAAAGUUUUGACCAGAAACAAAAAACUCCCUAAAAGCAAAGGGAAUUUUAGCAAUGCCCAUCACAAAGCAGAGUGCCACCCCUUCCCUCCCCCAUCCCAUGCGUUGAAGCAGCAAUUUGAACUUGAGUGUUUUUCUGCUCCAAUGAAUCGUUAUUUAUACAAAAUUAGAACAGCUUCAACAUGAGUGAUGGGGAGAGACUGCCGCAUGUGCACCCUUUAGCCCAGCAAUUAGGGCACUUACCAGCAAUGUUGGAGGCCCAAUCUCAA